rnacentral:rRNA from 1 species
UACGGAGGGUGCAAGCGUUGUCCGGAAUCACUGGGCGUAAAGGGCGCGUAGGCGGCUCAUGAAGGCUGUGGUGAAAGUCCGGGGCUCAACCUCGGAUCGGCCGUGGCGACUCGUGGGCUGGAGCACUGUAGAGGCGGGUGGAAUUCCGGGUGUAGCGGUGGAAUGCGUAGAUAUCGCUUGGAACGCCGAAGGUGAAAACAGGUUGCUGGGGUUGUGCCGACGCUGAGACACGAAAGCCAGGGGAGCAAACGGG